GGGGGAUAUUGCACAAUGGAGGAAACUCUGAUGCAGCAACGCCGCGUGAGGGAAGAAGGUCUUCGGAUUGUAAACCUUUGUCCUCGGUGACGAUAAUGACGGUAGCCGAGGAGGAAGCUCCGGCUAACUACGUGCCAGCAGCCGCGGUAAUACGUAGGGAGCAAGCGUUGUCCGGAUUUACUGGGUGUAAAGGGUGCGUAGGCGGCAAUGCAAGUUAGAUGUGAAAACUAUGGGCUUAACUCAUAGAUUGCAUUUGAAACUGUGUUGCUUGAGUGAAGUAGAGGCAGGCGGAAUUCCCGGUGUAGCGGUGAAAUGCGUAGAGAUCGGGAGGAACACCAGUGGCGAAGGCGGCCUGCUGGGCUUUAACUGACGCUGAGGCACGAAAGCAUGGGUAGCAAACA
rnacentral:rRNA from 1 species